AACGAACGCUGGCGGCGUGGAUAAGACAUGCAAGUCGAACGGGAACUUCAGCUGUAGCAAUACAGUUGAAGUUUUAGUGGCGAACGGGUGCGUAACACGUGGGCAAUCUGCCGAGAAGUGGGGGAUAGCUCGCCGAAAGGCGAAUUAAUACCGCAUAUGAUCAGCUAAGACAUCUUAGCGACAUCAAAGCCGGGGCAACCUGGCGCUUUUUGAGGAGCCCGCGGCCUAUCAGCUAGUUGGUGAGGUAACGGCUCACCAAGGCUAUGACGGGUAGCUGGUCUGAGAGGACGACCAGUCACACUGGAACUGAGACACGGUCCAGACACCUACGGGUGCAGCAGUCGAGUAAUUUUUUCNCAAUGGGGCAACCUGAAGGAGCGACGCCGCGUGGAGGAUGAA
rnacentral:rRNA from 1 species